GCUCCUGUGGUGCAAUUGCUUAGCAUGUGGUGUUUAUAUAACAAUACAAGGUGGAGUGAUGCUGAGGUUGUGAGUUCAAGCUUCACCUGGAGCC